CACGUAGGGCGCAAGCGUUGUCCGGAAUUAUUGGGCGUAAAGAGCUCGUAGGUGGUUUGUUACGUCUGCUGUGAAAACCUAGGGCUUAACCCUGGGCUUGCAGUGGAUACGGGCAGACUAGAGGUAGGUAGGGGAGAAUGGAAUUCCUGGUGUAGCGGUGAAAUGCGCAGAUACCAGGAGGAACACCGGUGGCGAAGGCGGUUCUCUGGGCCUUACCUGACACUGAGGAGCGAAAGCGUGGGGAGCGAACAGG
rnacentral:rRNA from 1 species